UUCAGGUCUGUGAUAGGACUCACUAUACCAGAUAACAUUACAGCUGAAACAUUUCCAGUCACAGCUACUUCUAUAAACUUUUUAGGAUGCACUUUUACACAUAUUUCAGAAGAUUCAUUUUCCAAUAUAACUGGUUUAACCACAUUAACAAUUCGCAAGAGUGGUCUAACUUUUAUGCCAGAUGUCAGCAAAUCACAGAUUACCACACUGAAUUUGAUAGAUAAUAGUAUAACACUGGAUUCUAAAUACAAAGGAACCCUUCCUGAUACUAUAGAAUAUCUAGCUUUGACUAACAAUAAGAUAUAUUGGUUACCCCAAGGAUUUAUCAAUGGUUCAAAUCUCCGACUGGUG